UGGUGAGACAGUGGCCGAUGCCAUCUCCACGGCUAGCUGUGCUGUGACGUCCAGAACGAUUGGUGCUCAUGUGUAUGCCUUACCAGGGGACCUGAAGCUAAGUUACGUUCUUAUGUGUCUUAUGGCGUGUAAAACAUAAACAUGUCGCAGAUAUGGGUUGGGAUUAACUUCUCAUUGCCAUAAUAGGAAGUAACUUGUGUUGCGUUAACUGAACAAACUCUUGGUUGGUGGUAAGGUGCUUGUGUGUUUUGUUGAUAUGCCGAGUGACGUUGCUUUAAGAACAUUUUAUAUAAGGAUAUUUUGUAAAUGGAGGCUCCUUUUGCACUCAGGGCUUCAGUCCAUUUCUGUGGUGUACAGGCCUGGUGUGUGGCUGAUUUGGUUUCUGUGACUUGGAUUCUAUUCGAUUAGUUACUGUAAAUUCUGUUGUUUACAAAAGCAGCGUCUUCCCUGGUUCACCAUCUGUUGUCGUUUCUGUUUUAUGCCAUGGUCAGUGGUUGUCGGGAACCUAGACCAUUACAUAAUCUGCCUCGUGUCGUUUUCUUGGGUCCCGAAAGGGAGACAGGUGGCUGAAGAGCCUAUUAAAGUAAUUUCAAAGUCCUUUAGAGACACUAGACUUCUCGGCGUCGUCACCCUUACAGAAACUGAAUCAGCUAUGCAUUGGGCUUGUAUACCGUAGAAACAGACUGAAGCCUUGUGUGCAGAAGUAGCCAUUGCUCUCGAAAAUUAAACCAAAACAAACGGCAACAUUACUUGGGAUUUCAUCAAAGCGCACUCAGCACCCUGCCACCCAAUAAGAGAUCAUGAUUAUUCCCGCUAUUUCUAUGUUAAACCUGAUUUUCUAUUUCUAUGUUAGAACUAAAAUUACAAUCAAAACUUCCUACCAUGCCCCAUACACAUAGUUAACGUAGUAACGUUCUUUAAGUGUUAGGUAUAGUCUUUCCCAUAUUUCUUAGUUUAAUAUUUGUGUAAUCUUUUCUACCGAGGAUCGUCGGACAGUAAGAAGAAAUGCCUGGACGUGGACGCAAGGACUGACGAAGGAAGGUGCCGAACGUGAACGAAAGGAACUUCGCAGUCUUUCCGCACGUAUGACAAGCAAUGUGUCUGGAAAGGUGGGCAAGGGACGUGCCAGGCGCCACAGUCACUGAAUGCGCUUCAUAACAUCCGGACAGACAGUGGUCUUGGCGGAAGGCAUCUUUGUGACUCCUUGGUGAUUUCUUGGAUGUCUUCAGCAGCUUUUUGGGAUGACAUUCCGGAUGUUUAGAAGACAGUCCGUAUAUAUAAAUCAGCUCUGCAAUUAAUCAAGAGCUACUGGACAUCAGUCUUUUCAGACAUUUGACAAGAAAUGUCUGGACGUCGUAAGGGAGGAAAGGAGCUGGGGAAGGGAGGAGUAAAGCAUAGCAUCACCAUCACCGAGGGUGCUUCGCGACAAUAGCCAGUGCAUCAUCAAGUCAAGGAGGACUGGUUGACCAGUCUAGGUGUAAGGCAGCUGAUGCGUGCAUACGCCCUUGCUCUGCGUCUGAACCUGUACAUGGAGGAGUGAAGCAGACCAGGAGACUGUUGACUGGAUUAACACCACUUUACAGCAAGUUGGGAAGGAGACAUCUCUCAGCAGCUUCCAGGAUCUUAUUGAUGCCAUCAAGCCCGGAGCAACUCCAGCUGCAAUGUUCAUGGUCAUGGUGGGACAAGAAGGUCAAAUGUGUCUUAUGGGGAGGUGUUAGAUGGCAACAUGCUGAGAUGGGCUCACUAACUUAUCAUCUGUAUGAUAGGAAGUAAAUGAAUUGUCAAGUUUCGCCUAUUGCUUUGAAUGUACAAUUCACUCCGUAGCUAUUAGAGGGUUAGGGCAUUUUGUGAAUGGAUGCUCCUUUUGCACCCAGGGCUUCAGUCCGUUUCUGUGGUGUACAGGACUGGUGUGUGGCUGAUUUAUUGUCUGUGACUGUGUGGGAUUGUAUUCGGUCAGUUAUUGUAAAUCAUAAAAAUCUGUUCUUUAGAAAACGGGGAUUUCCCUGGUUCACCAUCUGUUGUAAUUGCUGUUUUAUGUCAUGGUCAGUGGUUGUCGGGAACCUAGACCAUUACAUAAUCUGCCUUGUGUAGUUUUUCUUGGGUCCCGAACCAAGAGAACGACACAGGCCAGAAAGUAAGACAUUUGGUUGAAGAGCCUAUUAAAUAUUAGCAAUUUAGUCCUUUGAAAUGCUAGACUUCUUGGUAUCGGCACAGUCCCAGAAACCAAAUCAAUGCAAACAGAAUGCAAAGUGUACGGUUUUACAAUCAUCAUGUAUAUUGACUGACGUUAGAUACAUGUAGUUUCUGAGUCAAGGUCUCGUCUUUUAGAGGGUUGAAGUGUGCUGUUUAGAUGCUUUUUGAAAGCAGACUCUGUUUUUGAUUCUAUCUAAUCAUAUCGUGCCAUUCCAGUACAGGGGUGGCUGACACUGAAUUGAUUUUUGUUUUGUUUCAUGCCCUUUGUAUGCCUCACUUAGCCAUUAAGUUUUGUGCAUUUCAUUUGUAUUCUUGUACAAAAGUGAUCUACAGAUUAGAAUUCAGUAGAUGUCAAUCAUUUGCCUGUUUAUUGUGUGGAGGUUGUUUGUAGCCUUUUAAAUCAGUCCGUUGGAAAUUUUCCUACCUAAGGCUUAGGCUGGUGCUGAGACUAACACAAUGGUCAAUGCCACAUACACAUACACACACUAACAGACUAACCCCACCAUACACACACUAACGCAACAUCUUUUUGUAGAACACUAAUAACCAGCUAAAUGCCUGAGCCUACAAAAAACUUUUUUUAUGUUUCUUCAAGUACCAAGGCUCCAAACUACCUCUAUACCAUGUACUGGCAAUGUCAAUAUUUACUGAUUCUAGGCUCUGUUAGCCACUAUAUGCCCUAGAGUAAUCUAUUGUGUGAAAUUUUUUACAUAUCAUACACUUUGUAUUAAUCUGUUUUGUCAACAAUUGUUAAUAAACAAAUAUGUUGAAA